CCUACGGGAGGCAGCAGUGGGGAAUCUUGCGCAAUGGGCGAAAGCCUGACGCAGCAACGCCGCGUGCGGGAAGAAGGCUUUCGGGCUGUAAACCGCUUUCAGCAGGAACGAAAAUGACGGUACCUGCAGAAGAAGGAGCGGCCAACUAUGUGCCAGCAGCCGCGGUGAUACAUAGGCUUCAAGCGUUGUCCGGAUUUAUUGGGCGUAAAGAGUUCGUAGGCGGUCGAGUAAGUCGGGUGUGAAAAUUCUGGGCUCAACCCAGAGACGCCACCCGAUACUGCUUGACUUGAGUUCGAUAGGGGAGUGGGGAAUUCCUAGUGUAGCGGUGAAAUGCGCAGAUAUUAGGAGGAACACCGGUGGCGAAGGCGCCACUCUGGAUCGAUACUGACGCUGAGGAACGAAAGCAUGGGUAGCAAACAGGAUUAGAUACCCUGGUAGUCCAUGCCGUAAACGGUGGGCACUAGGUGUGGGUUUCUAUUAACGAAAUCCGCGCCGUCGCUAACGCAUUAAGUGCCCCGCCUGGGGAGUACGGUCGCAAGACUAAAACUCAAAGGAUUAAGUACGGCGUUGAGAGUUGCGACGACGACGACGAGGGAGGAGG
rnacentral:rRNA from 1 species